AGUGAACGCUGGCGGUAGGCCUAACACAUGCAAGUCGAACGGCAGCACAGUAAGAGCUUGCUCUUACGGGUGGCGAGUGGCGGACGGGUGAGGAAUACAUCGGAAUCUACUUUUUCGUGGGUGAUAACGUAGGGAAACUUACGCUAAUACCGCAUACGACCUACGGGUGAAAGCAGUGGAUCUUCGGACCUUGCGCGAUUGAAUGAGCCGAUGUCGGAUUAGCUAGUUGGCGGGGUAAAGGCCCACCAAGGCGACGAUCCGUAGCUGGGCUGAGAGGAUGAUCGGCCGCACUGGAACUGAGACACGGUCCAGACUCCUACGGGAGGCAGCAGUGGGGAAUAUUGGACAAUGGGCGCAAGCCUGAUCCAGCCACACCGCGUGGGUGAAGAAGGCCUUCGGGUUGUAAAGCCCUUUUGUUGGGAAAGAAAAGCAGCAGGUUAAUACCCCGAUGUUCUGACGGUACCCAAAGAAUAAGCACCGGCUAACUUCGUG
rnacentral:rRNA from 1 species